GUGCCAGCAGCCGCGGUAAUACGUAGGGUGCAAGCGUUGUCCGGAAUUAUUGGGCGUAAAGAGCUCGUAGGCGGUUUGUCACGUCGGAUGUGAAAUCCCGGGGCUCAACCCCGGGUCUGCAUUCGAUACGGGCUGACUAGAGUUCGGUAGGGGAGACUGGAAUUCCUGGUGUAGCGGUGAAAUGCGCAGAUAUCAGGAGGAACACCGGUGGCGAAGGCGGGUCUCUGGGCCGAUACUGACGCUGAGGAGCGAAAGCGUGGGGAGCGAACAGGAUUAGAAACCCCUGUAGUCC
rnacentral:rRNA from 1 species